UGGGGAAUUUUGGACAAUGGGCGAAAGCCUGAUCCAGCAAUGCCGCGUGUGUGAAGAAGGCCUUCGGGUUGUAAAGCACUUUUGUCCGGUAAAGAAAUCCUUGGCUCUAAUACAGUCGGGGGAUGACGGUACCGGAAGAAUAAGCACCGGCUAACUACGUGCCAGCAGCCGCGGUAAUAGCGUAGGGUGCAAGCGUUAAUCGGAAUUACUGGGCGUAAAGCGUGCGCAGGCGGUUUGCUAAGACCGAUGUGAAAUCCCCGGGCUCAACCUGGGAACUGCAUUGGUGACUGGCAGGCUAGAGUAUGGCAGAGGGGGGUAGAAUUCCACGUGUAGCAGUGAAAUGCGUAGAGAUGUGGAGGAAUACCGAUGGCGAAAGGCAGCCCCCUGGGCAAUAGCUGACGCUCAUGCACGAAAAGCGUGGGGAAGCAAACGAGGAUUAGAUACCCUGGUAGU
rnacentral:rRNA from 1 species